CAAAAACAUCGCCUCUUGACCAAAUAUAAGAGGUCCAGCCUGCCCACUGACAUAGUUUAACGGCCGCGGUACCCUAACCGUGCGAAGGUAGCAUAAUCACUUGUUCUUUAAAUAAGGACUCGUAUCAACGGCAUCACGAGGACUAUACUGUCUCCUUUCUCCAAUCAGUGAAACUGAUCUCCCCGUGAAGAAGCGGGGAUUAACCUAUAAGACGAGAAGACCCCAUGGAGCUUAAAGCCCACAAACACCUCUACGCACUUAAACCAAUUUAGCCUAAGAGACCUGUAAGCCGGCUUUAGGUUGGGGGGACCGCGGAGAAAAACCUAACCUCCACGACAAACGGGCAAACGCCCUUAUCCAUGAAUUACAAUUCUAAGAAUCAAUAAACUGAUGUUUAAUGACCCGAUUAUUCGAUCAACGAACCAAGUUACCCUGGGGAUAACAGCGCAAUCUACUUUAAGAGCUCAUAUCGACAAGUAGGUUUACGACCUCGAUGUUGGAUCAGGGUAUCCCAGUGGUGUAGCCGCUACUAAAGGUUCGUUUGUUCAACGAUUAAAACCCUACGUGAUCU
rnacentral:rRNA from 1 species